rnacentral:rRNA from 1 species
AUUUGGUCGUAGACCCGAAACCAGGUGAUCUACCCUUGGUCAGGUUGAAGUUCAGGUAACACUGAAUGGAGGACCGAACCGACUUACGUUGAAAAGUGAGCGGAUGAACUGAGGGUAGCGGAGAAAUUCCAAUCGAACCUGGAGAUAGCUGGUUCUCUCCGAAAUAGCUUUAGGGCUAGCCUCAAGUGAUGAUUAUUGGAGGUAGAGCACUGUUUGGACGAGGGGCCCCUCUCGGGUUACCGAAUUCAGACAAACUCCGAAUGCCAAUUAAUUUAACUUGGGAGUCAGAACAUGGGUGAUAAGGUCCGUGUUCGAAAGGGAAACAGCCCAGACCACCAGCUAAGGUCCCAAAAUAUAUGUUAAGUGGAAAAGGAUGUGGCGUUGCCCAGACAACUAGGAUGUUGGCUUAGAAGCAGCCAUCAUUUAAAGAGUGCGUAAUAGCUCACUAGUCGAGUGACACUGCGCCGAAAAUGUACCGGGGCUAAACAUAUUACCGAAGCUGUGGAUUGUCCUUUGGACAAUGGUAGGAGAGCGUUCUAAGGGCGUUGAAGCAUGAUCGUAAGGACAUGUGGAGCGCUUAGAAGUGAGAAUGCCGGUGUGAGUAGCGAAAGACGGGUGAGAAUCCCGUCCACCGAUUGACUAAGGUUUCCAGAGGAAGGCUCGUCCGCUCUGGGUUAGUCGGGUCCUAAGCUGAGGCCGACAGGCGUAGGCGAUGGAUAACAGGUUGAUAUUCCUGUACCACCUAUAAUCGUUUUAAUCGAUGGGGGGACGCAGUAGGAUAGGCGAAGCGUGCGAUUGGAUUGCACGUCUAAGCAGUAAGGCUGAGUAUUAGGCAAAUCCGGUACUCGUUAAGGCUGAGCUGUGAUGGGGAGAAGACAUUG